GUGGCGUGUGGUCUGCUCCUUGAUUUCCUUUUUUCUCUGAAACUUGGUGCGUUCAGUGCCGCCUAGCGGGAGAUCAUCAGGUAAUGGAAUUUCACGAUCCAUGCAUGACAGCCUAUUUGUACAAUUGUACCCAAAGGUGGUGGCGCCACGAUUAUUUUGCUUCCAGCGCAGCCGUGAACCGUUUCUUCGGUCCUUAAUCCUUCACCUAAACCCAAUUACCAGAAAGGUGUUACUGCUAAUUUGUUAUUCACGGAAGCAGAGAGCAUGGGGCUGCUAUCCGCAAAAAAGAAAAAAGAGGAA
rnacentral:lncRNA from 1 species